rnacentral:rRNA from 1 species
CCCCGCGGCGGGGGCGGCGGGGCCACACCUGUUCCCAUGCCGAACACAGAAGUUAAGCCCGCCUGCGCCGAAAGUACUUGCCUGGCAACGGGCCGGGAGGACAGGGCGCCGCGGGGG